rnacentral:ncRNA from 1 species
UAACUAUUUCUGAUCGCAUGGUCUAGCACCGGCGACAUCACUUUCAAGUGUCUGCCUUAUCAACCUUCGAUGGUAGUCUAUGCGACUACCAUGGUGAUAACGGGUAACGGAGAAUCAGGGUUCGACUCCGGAGAGGGAGCCUGAGAAACGGCUACCACAUCCAAGGAAGGCAGCAGGCGCGCAAAUUACCCACUCCCACCUUGGGGAGGUAGUGACGAAAAAUAACGAGACGAUUCUCGUUUGACAAACGUUAUCGAAAUGAGUACGCUUUACACACGCUAACGAGUAGCAAUUGGAGGGCAAGUCUGGUGCCAGCAGCCGCGGUAAUUCCAGCUCCAAUAGUGCAUAAUAAAGUUGCUGCCACUACAACCCACGUAAAUGAGAUGCGGACUCACACAACAGUCCCCCUACACAGGUGUGUUCCGAUAGCUCAAGAUCUACCAUCACGGAUUGUGAUAAUAAUCUUAGAUGAAUGACUGCGCUGCUUCGAAAUAUCUUUUCCUGGAAAUAUUCUUCACUUUAGCAAUUAGUCAUUAUAAAACGCAUGAUUCAACAACCAGAAAAAAUGAUUUCUUCCCUCUUUGCAGCAUUAAUGUCUAAUUAGUAACAUUCAUUACAGAUGACACUCACUCAAUAUCAGUCAAUCGCAGAGCAAAGAUGUUAAAAUCACAAACUACGUGAAACUCUUAUCUUAAUUUAUUUCUGCUCCGAAAAAGAAACCAUGUAACUGAAUCAAUUGAAUCCUUAAAA